rnacentral:ribozyme from 13 species
UUUUUUUUUUUUUUUUUUUUUUUUUUUUUUUUUUUUUUUUUUGGGGCAAGACAAGGGAGAGCGACUGAGGUGC